UCUAAGGAUGAAUGAAAGUAAAAUUUUAUUCUAAAUAAUAUACAUAGGUAAUGUUGACCGUCCUCAUUUCUCUUCUUAAAGUAGUGUUUCUCUUGCAUGGGGGCCGGUAGCUCAGUUGGUUAGAGCACACCCUUGAUAAGGGUGGGGUCGAAAGUUCGAGUCUUUCUCGGCCCACCAAUAUAAGAUCAUGGGGGAUUAGCUCAGCUGGGAGAGCGCCUGAUUUGCAUUCAGGAGGUCAGCGGUUCGAUCCCGCUAUCCUCCACCAAAAAACACUUAGUUAUAAAAAUCGUAAAUAAAAAUAAUAAUUAAUAUCAAUAUCUAUAUCCGAACAUUAGUAAUGUUAUUAGCUAAUGUUCAAAAUAAAAAUUUGAUUCAACACAGAAUUUUUUUCUG
rnacentral:tRNA from 1 species